rnacentral:lncRNA from 1 species
CAGUACUUCUGGAACCUGGGAAUGGCACUCAAAGAAAAAUUCCAAAUGCAAAUUGUGCUAUGGCCGACUUACAGAUGUUACUCCAUCUCCUUCAGUCUACAGACUGAUCUCUAAAGACGAUGAGGAUUUGGAAAUGUGCCUGAUCACAGAUUACUCCCCUAAACAGCUCACUCUUAACUCACCUGAUAAGGAGACAAGUGCUGUUGUGGAGGUGGCAACAUCUGAGAACAAACAGGAAGCGAGCUACCUGUCAACCUACUGGGCCAAGAAAGAUGAAAUGUUGUGUGGUGCAAAUCAUGAGGGCUUUGGAAAACUGGAGAGUGAGGAUCCUGAAAGUGGUGCCAGCACUGUCUGUAUUACAGGCAUGUCUCUACACUUCAAGACAGAUGAAAACCUGAACAUGCUGUCUUUAUCACAGCUGGGCCUGAAAAUAAUUUUAAUGAAAGGAAUAAUUUUUAAUGUGCUGAUGACAAUGCUUCUGUGGAAAAAAAAAGAAUUAAAGUAACCAGAUGGUGCAGUCUUGAAGUUCCAAUAAAGUCUGCUGAGGAAUCUUUACUUGAGCA